UACGGAGGAUCCAAGCGUUAUCCGGAAUUACUGGGCGUAAAGAGUUGCGUAGGUGGCAUAGUAAGCGGGUAGUGAAAGCGUGUGGCUCAACCAUACUCACAUUAUCCGAACUGCUAAGCUAGAGGGCGAGAGAGGUUACUGGAAUUCCCAGUGUAGGAGUGAAAUCCGCAGAUAUUGGGAGGAACACCAAUGGCGUAGGCAGGUAACUGGCUCGUCCCUGACACUAAGGCACGAAAGCGUGGGGAGCAAACGGG
rnacentral:rRNA from 1 species